rnacentral:tRNA from 1 species
GGUGGGGUGGCUGAGUGGUCGAAAGUACCGCACUCGAACUGCGGCAGGGGAGCAAUCCCCUCGUGGGUUCGAAUCCCACCCCCACCGCCA